rnacentral:tRNA from 1 species
GGUAGGGUGGCCGAGCAGGCGGCGGAUUGUAGCCCCGAAGACGGAGGUCAAGCCCUCCCCCCACCA